rnacentral:lncRNA from 1 species
GCAAUUCUUUGCUUCUGCCCUCCUGAGAGUUGGACUCCUCUCUCCCCAACUGGAGUUUUAUAUCCAUCAGGCAACCCGCUGACAAAGCCGUGGACAUUGGCAGCUCGAGCUGCUUCAAUUACUUCUGCUUCUGUUGCUCCAUCUUUGCCAUAGGCAAUGUUGUCCAAAAUGCUAGCUGCAAAGAGAGCUGGCUCUUGCUGUACCAACCCGAUUUUGAGCCUCAAAGACUUCAGGUUCAAACGCCGGACAUCUUUGCCAUCAAUCAUAACUUUUCCAGCAGUUGGGUCAUAGAAUCGCUCGAUCAGUGCAAUGACAGAACUCUUACCAGACCCACUAGCUCCAACAAGGGCUUGGCUCUGGCCAGCUCGAAUUCUUAGGUUAAGGUCUUUAAACACUGUGAUAUCAGACCGUGAAGGGUAUGAAAAAUCAACGUGGCGUAGUUCAAUUUCCCCACGGAUUGAUUCAACUGGUUCAGCAUCUGAAUCAUCAGGGUCAAUCUUGGUUGAACGAUCAAGAAUAGAAAAGACUGAUCCAACAGCCUCGCCACCCCUAAUGAUCUCAGGAGCAAGACUAACUGUUUCUGCAACUGAAUUGGCUGUGAUGACCAGCACCACAAAAACCUUAAUAAC